rnacentral:tRNA from 1 species
GCAAUGAUGGUUCAGUGGUAGAAUUCUCACCUUCCGUGUGGGAGACUGGGGUUUGAUUCCCAGUCAGUGCA